ACGGAGGGUGCAAGCGUUGUCCGGAAUCACUGGGCGUAAAGGGCGCGUAGGCGGCCUGAUAAGUCGGGGGUGAAAUCCUGCGGCUCAACCGCAGGGCUGCCUCCGAGACUGUCGGGCUGGAGCACGGUAGAGGCAGAUGGAAUUCCCGGUGUAGCGGUGGAAUGCGUAGAGAUCGGGAAGAACAUCAGUGGCGAAGGCGGUCUGCUGGGCCGUUGCUGACGCUGAGGCGCGACAGCGUGGGGAGCAAACAGGAUUAGAUACCCUGGUAGUCCACGCCGUAAACGAUGGGUACUAGGCGUCGGGGGGAGCGACCCUCCCGGUGCCGUCGCUAACGCAGUAAGUACCCCGCCUGGGGAGUACGGCCGCAAGGCUG
rnacentral:rRNA from 1 species